AGCCAGCUGCGUGAAUUAAUGUGAAUUGCAGGACACAUUGAACAUCGAUAUCUUGAACGCAUAUUGCGGCCUCGGGCAAUCCCGAGGCCAAGCCUGUCUCAGGGUCG
rnacentral:rRNA from 1 species